rnacentral:rRNA from 1 species
UACGUAGGGGGCUAGCGUUGUCCGGAUUUAUUGGGCGUAAAGAGCGUGUAGGCGGCUGGUAGGUCGCUGUGAAAACUCGAGGCUCAACCUCGAGACGCCGAUGGAAACCAUCGUGGCUAGAGUCCGGAAGAGGAGAGUGGAAUUCCUGGUGUAGCGGUGAAAUGCGCAGAUAUCAGGAAGAACACCCGUGGCUAAGGCGGCUCUCUAGUACGGUACUGACGCUGAGACGCGAAAGCGUGGGGAGCGAAACAGG